CAUUGUUUUCUGUUUUCUGUGUGCUCCUGUUCCAUGCUCCUGUCCCGUUUGUAGCAGCUGGAUCUCAGAUGGCAGAAGCAUGAGAGAUGCACUGGAGCAAAGGAGCAGGAGGAGAAGACGCCACGCACAGGACGCUGUGGACGCCAGGGCUGCAUGAUCGUGUGGUUAAAGAAACAGAAGAACCCUAAACUCCAGUACUGUGUGUGUGUGUGUGUGUGUGUGGUUCGUAUGUGAAGAAAUCAUGGUAGCCUGGAAGAGGGCCACAGUCUCCUCUUCAUAUAUAAUGCGUCACAGAGCUGUCUGAUAAUCAGGAAGCAGUGAGAGCAGACAGCAUCUUUAUACCAGCAUGAAGGGUGGAUCCUCUGUGGUCACAUGACUUCACAGAAACAGCCUCAGAUACAAGAAACGUCCUGUGCAGAGACGGCAGUGAGUUCAGUUUCUCUGUGCUGUGUGAGAACAUGAACGUCACUUUUUCUUUAUCAUGUGAUUAUAUUAUAACCUGUAAAUCCUGCUGAAGCAGUCAAAAGAAAUCAUAA